rnacentral:rRNA from 1 species
UUUUAUGGAGAGUUUGAUCCUGGCUCAGGAUGAACGCUGGCGGCGUGCCUAAUACAUGCAAGUCGAGCGAACGGACGAGAAGCUUGCUUCUCUGAUGUUAGCGGCGGACGGGUGAGUAACACGUGGAUAACCUACCUAUAAGACUGGGAUAACUUCGGGAAACCGGAGCUAAUACCGGAUAAUAUUUUGAACCGCAUGGUUCAAAAGUGAAAGACGGUCUUGCUGUCACUUAUAGAUGGAUCCGCGCUGCAUUAGCUAGUUGGUAAGGUAACGGCUUACCAAGGCAACGAUGCAUAGCCGACCUGAGAGGGUGAUCGGCCACACUGGAACUGAGACACGGUCCAGACUCCUACGGGAGGCAGCAGUAGGGAAUCUUCCGCAAUGGGCGAAAGCCUGACGGAGCAACGCCGCGUGAGUGAUGAAGGUCUUCGGAUCGUAAAACUCUGUUAUUAGGGAAGAACAUAUGUGUAA